CAUCACCAUCCUGGUGCAUCCUGAGAAGAGGGCUUACAGACACAUUGGUAGCUUUGACCUUGUUAAUUCGUCUUAGGAAAUGGAGCUUGGCUGAAGACCAAUUAUCAUCGAGUUCUUUAGGAGAGAUAAUAUCUGCCACCCAGAACCAUCCACUCUCUGACAUUGUUAUUUCCCUUCUAGGCUCUUUACUGUCAUGAACUGAGAAAUGAUUUUUCCUUCCUCUGCCCCUGCCUCUUAAGCUUCCACGUCCACUGAGCCUUGGGAUAUCUGUCCCCAGUGAGCCUGAUGCUUCAUUGUACGCAUGCCCCUGACUCUUUCAAGUCCCACAUGUUGGAUACAGGGAUGUCACAGAACACUGACUAGAGUGUUGUGGGCCAGUUCUCACUCCCCCUCUAGCUCAUCUCCUAUCCACUGACAGCUCAGCUCACCUGUCACUUUCUUCAAGAAGUGCUCUUUGAACGAACACCUUGAAUCAACAUGACUCUCCUUGAUCCCCUUCAAGAUUAGAAUUAAUGGACACAAAAUAAGACCUCGGAAAAAGAGCUGGGUAAUAAAAAGCUUCUACAGGAUUGUGAGCUCAGGAAGGCUGACACUAUGGCCUUCCUAUAGCAUUUGUUAAAAUGUUCAAACAGAGUAGAUUCCCAAUAACUAAGGUACCAGUAUAACCAACCUGGUGAACGUUUAGUGAGAGAAAAAAGUGAUCAUGAAAAUGAAGGUAAGUGACUUGGAUAUGGAUGCUGCCUUCUGUGACAAUAGUCCAAAAAGUCUGACACCAUUUCCAAAGGCUAAACAUAGCAGCUUUCAAAUCUGCUUCUACGUUACAAUGGUCUUUAAUUGGUUUCUUUAAUCACUAUUUCAAAAUUUAGGGUUGAAGGAAUAAAUUAUAGGAUACAAGCCUGUCUCUGUUUCAUUAAUUUUCUUCUUCGUUGUGUUAGGUACACAAUUAAGACCAAGGGACUCUUCAGACAGCUAAAUAUUUUUCAUAACACAUCCUUAUUGAGAGCACAAUUCAGUCACUAGACAUGUUCAGAAAUACUAAACCAAAUCUCCUUGGAAAUCGGAGUACCUCUGGGCAAAAUAUUUAG